CAUAACCAAACCUAAAAUUUAUUUAUUUCAUCCUUACAUUUAAAAUUUUAAAAUGACACACACAUAAGACAUCCUAGGUACAUGCCAUUACCCAUAAUUAACACACUUUACCUCAUUGAAUUUGGGAUCGGCCUGGGAUACUGAUUCAACGUUCUAUCUUUACUUAACCUGCGCACGGAAACAAACGUACGCUGAGUAUGGUAUACUCAGUGGUAUUUCCAUAAUCCGAACACUUAAUAACAUAACAAUUAAACUUAAAGUAACAAUAACAAUUAUAAGUAUUCAUUUAUUUAUUUUAUAGAUGAAUUUCAUUUACUUACCGUAUAAAUUCUAUACAAUAUAUUCACAAUUCACUUGUAUUCACACUUUACUUCUUAACAAUAUACCAUUUUAAUUCAUUCUAACAUCAAUCAUCAUCCAUUUGAACUUCACUCAUUUCAUGAACCUUUUGGUUCAUGUUUUCAAUCUCAUAUCUCAAUUUCAAUUCUCAAUUCAAUAUCUCAUUUCAUUCUAAUAGCUCAAUCAAUCAAAUUCACUCGAUUUAUCUUUUCACUUAUUUACCCCUAUUAACAAGACUCGGACUCUGAUAGAUACGCGGAUUCCUCCCAAACACACCAGAAUAUCCAACCCAAACACACCCGGAAUAUUAUAAAUCCUUCAUAACACACCAGUAUAUCAUAUCCUCCCAAACACACCAAUAAUGCAUUAAAUGCCUCUUCGGAUAAACCGAAGUAUAUAAUAACAGAAACAUCUUCUCGGCCGAACUACAAAUCUCCUCAUCACAUCACAAACCCAAUGGCAUGCCAUUUGUAUCCAAUCUGGUCCAAUACUGUUAAUAAGGUAUUUGAUUCACUUUCUCAAUUUAAUGAAUCUUUCAUCAAUAUACCAUUCUAAUAAUCACAUAUAUUCACACAUUUUCACAAUUUCAUACAUUUUCAUUCAAUUCAACAAAUAUAUUUCAAUUAUUCACAUUAAUUCAUAAUCCAAUACAAUUCAAUUCACUUUUCAAUAUCAAAUAUUCAAUUAUCACAAAUCUCAUAUAUUCAUAUCAAUUCCCUCAUAUUUCCAAUCAAUAUAAUUUUUCAAUAUAACAUUCAUUCAAUAUUCAAAUUUUUACAUAGAUCAUAUAUAUAUAUUAUAAUUUCAAUCAAUAUAAAUUCAAUCAAAAUGAUUUCAAUCAAUAUAAAUUUGAUAAAUUCAUCACAUACCAAAAUCAAUCCAUUUCAAUUGUAAAACAUCAUAAUUCUAACACUAACAAUUGUCAUAUGUAUAUAAAUAUAACAAAUAAUGACUGAGUUCGGAUUAUAGAAAUACAAACCGUAUUUUUCGAGCUUUUCCAAGCUUUUCCUCGUCGACUUUGCUAUUUCCUUACUUAGCCGAAACUUCUCGAGACAACGUUAGCUACGGAAAUUAAAACAAUUUAUAUUCAUUAAUUCACUACUAAUUUAUAUCUAAUUAAUUGAAUUUUCUAUUCAAUUUUCUACUUUAAUUUCAAUUUAAUCUUAACUAAUUUUCAAUUACGUUUCUAAUUCAAUUCACAUUCUAUUUCUAUUCAAAUUUCAUCCAUACUCUCAUUUAAAUAUUAAAUUUCCAGCAUAUUUUCCUAAUUUCAAAAUUUCAUCAAUUUAGUUCCUACAACAUAAAACUUAUAACUUACUUUACAAUUUGAUCCUAUUAUCAAUUCUAACUUGAAAUUCACUUAAUUAAACCCUUAAUUCACUAUUUUAUUCAACAUGAACUAUACUUGAAAAACUAUAAACUCUCAAAAUAUCAACUUAAUUUCAAUAAAACCUUGUUUUAAAGCUUCUAAAACAUCAAAUUUAAGAGGAAAUGACUUAAUUGACUUACCAAAUUAAACUUCAAGCAUCAAACCUUAUAUUUUCCCCUUUUUUCUUUCUUUUCUUUCUUUCCUUCCUUCCCUCUCUGUUUCGUUUCUACUAUUCUGUUUCUUCCCUUCUUCUCUUUUUUUUUCUUUUUGUUUUAUAUACAUAUAUAUAAUAUUAUUUAUACUUAAAUAAUAAGUAAUACUUAUUUAUUAUUUAUACAUGUGUAUAUUAUUAAUACAUGUGUAUCUAUUUAAAACCAUACAUUUGUCACUUUUCUUUUUUUUAAAAUUUAUUUAAUAAUAAUAGUUAAUAAUAAUUUAUAAUUUAUAAUUCAACAAUAAUCUAGAAAAAUCUUUAGAUUUUUCAUUGUUUGCCGCCUCAACUAUACUAAAUGGUCUAUUUUCCAUUUUGGUCAUUUUUAUUUUCUUUUAAUCUACAAUUCAACUUUUAUCCUUUAUUCAAUUUAGUCAUUUUCCUAAUUACUCUUAAUUAAGCUAAAUUCACUUAAUUAAACUCUAAGUAACCACUCUACUAACUUCAUAAAUAUAUAUAUUUUAAAAAUAUUUACUGAUCAAUUUUUCAGAAACGGAGACCCGAAAAUACAUUUUUCGAUAACCUUAAAGUUCGGGUCGUUACAUUUCUCCCCCCUUUUUAAUAAAUUUCGUCCUCGAAAUUUUCCUGAAAAGAGGUGGGGGUACAAAGAUCUCACUGUUUCUUUCGGUUCCCGUAUUGUUUCCUCAAUAUCAUGGCUUCACUUACUCAAGCGAGCAUCUCAACAGGCUUUUUCUCCAUACGAUAAAUCAUAUCAAAUCUCAUUAUUCUUUGUCGAUAUAACAUGUAACAAAUCUGAUCUAUAUCAUUUUCUGAGCUUCAAAUCAGGGAAAAUUAUCAUAAACUUUCUGUAACUUCAGAAGCAAAACCAAACAAUAUUUUACCGAUUUGACUUUUCUACAACUUCACAUAGCCCAACAGAAUAAGAACUCAAUUUCUUUUUCAACCCGAUCUUCAAAAUUUUCUUCCAAGGUGAAUCUUUAAGAAAUAUCAUAUCACUAAUAAAAUACUCAAUAUCCCAACGUUUCAAAUCCACAUAUGAUUCUUGUCUAUCAAAACUACUUUCAAUCUAUCUCGAAUCACUUCCACUUUUCUUCAAUUUCACGAAUUAAACAACUCUGCAUAUUCUUUUUCUCACUAUAUUUAAUCAGAUCCCAUGCAGUUUUACAUCAAUCAUUAUUCAGAACUUCAUACAGUGUUGAAAACUAUUAUUACACACCCAAAACUUCUUGUACUUGUUCUAUAAUCAGAGUGUAAACCACGUAUCUCAAUCAGAAAUAAUAGAAACCACCAUGCCAUGUAAUCUGAUAAUCUCAGAAACCUAUAUUUCAGACAAUUAUUGAGUAAGAAACUUAUUCAUACUAGAAUAGAAUAUACAAGCUUCACCAUACCUUCGAUGAUUACUCAAAUAUCAUCUUUCUUUUUCGAAGAUAGGGAUAAUUCUAACUCAGAUUCCAUAAAAAUUCUAUCCCAUUUUCAUUCUGACGUCACUACUGGUUGUAACAGUUCUGAAGAUAUCUGUAUCUGAUAUAAACAAUUAUAUAUAAAUUCAAAGUACUGCUUUUCUUUCCCAGUCUUCAACACAUCUGCCUCAAAUCACUGUACAUCUUAUUUCUUCCAGAAUGCAUAGACAUAGUACUGUUAUAAAUUUCAUGCAAAUUCUUUUGUCUAAGCUCUGAAUUCUUUAGUACAACUUCUAUUUCUAAAUAGUGUAGAAGCCCAAAUUGCCCGGGCCCGAUUAUAUCAAAACCCAACCAAACCUCUAAACCUACUAAAACCCUUAAACCAUGACCCAUUUACAUCUACCCAAACCCAUUACAAAACCCAAAUAUUAAACCCAAUUCAAAAGCCCAUUAAGCCCCCCCAAAAAAAACCUAACCCCCCCAAAAAAAACCUAACCCUCCCAAAAAUAAACCAAGAAACCCUAGCCACCUAGCCACUUUCCCACUUGCCCCAUUUUUCCUCCCAUUGUUGAUAUCCAUUAUCUACCACCACCACCUACAAAAUAGAAAAAGAAAUAAUAGAAAAUCAUGUAAAAGAUGGCUAUAAAAAGCCAUUCAAAAUCAAGUAAGGGGGGAUUUUACAAAGAUUGAAAAAAAAAACAAAAAUCCCUUCAAAUUUUGAACACAAAAGAAACAUCAAUAAAAAGGUUGCAUCUUUUUCUUUUUUCCUCUUCUUUCGAAUCUUUUUUUCUUUUUUUUGUGUUGUUUUUUUUCUUUCUUUAUUUAUACAUAUAUUGUUAAAAAAAGUUUACCUUUUCCGGCCACCGUGGGCGGUGGCCGGCGGUGGCCGACGACGGGCGGCGACCGACGAUCGACCGGUGACCGGCCCCCCUAGGCCGGAUUUCCUUUCCCCCCUCCCUUCUCUCUUCUUUCCCCCUUCUUUUUUUAGGUAUUUUAUAUAUAUUAUGUAUAUAUUUUUUAAUGCCAUUAGUUAUAUAUUUCUUAUGUAUAUAUUCUUAAAUACUAUUAUAUACAUAUAUAUAUAUUUUAAAUACCAUAUUGUGUAUAUAUUAUUAUUACAAAUUAUUACUAUUGCUAGUAUUAUUAUAACUAUUAUUAUAUUAGUGUAUAUUUUAUGUACAUAUGUAUAUAUAUAUAUUUUUGCACAUAUCAUUAUUUUAUAUUAUUGUUGUAAUUUUUUUAUAUAUAUAUUUUUUAUGUACGUUUCCUAAUAUUUUCUUUUAUUUUAGAUAUUAUUAUUACAUACUUUUAUUAUAUGCAUAUAUAUAUGUAUUUUUAUGUACAUAUUAUUAUUUUAUAUUAUUAUUACCAAAUAUAUCAUUUUUCCUAUUUUAUUAUUAGUACAUGAUUUGUUUUUAUUUUGUAAAUAUCAUUAUUAUUGUUAUUCUAAUAUUCUAGUAUUCCAUGUUAAUAUUUUUCAUUAAUGAUAUCAUUUUUUGCGUCCUUUAUCUAUUUUUAAUUUCUCACUUUAGGAAUAUUUUUUCUCAUAUUUUAAUUAAUUUCAAAAAUAAGGCAAUGUACCGAUUUAAUAUUAAGCCAUCGAUUUCAUCGCUAUGUUGGGUGAAAUUCGUCGACUUGUGUUAAUAAACGGGACACCAUUUCUUAAAAAAAAAAUCGAAAACUAAAAAUUCUCAUUUUUCAAUCGGAUCACGAUUAAAUAUUAUAUUGAACUCGUAUUUUUAAAAAUCAAGUCAACAAAUGUUUAUGAGAUACCAAUUUUGGGCGUUGCGAGGGUGCUAAUACCUUCCUCGCGCGUAACUGACUCCUGAACCCCAAUUUUUCUCUGAACUUUCACGUAGACCUAAAUUUGGCCUUCUUUUUGUUUUAAAAUAAUUUUAUUAGGUGUCCGAUCACACCUAUAAAAAAGGAUCGGUGGCGACUCCCUUUGCUAAUAAAAUCAAAAGUUGGUUUUCAAAUGUUUAAUAAAUCGCCACAAUUUGCGACCAAGCGAAACUAAUUUUUUUUUACGUCGCUACAGCUGGCGACUCCACUGGGGACCUCCAUUUUUGAGAGUCGGGUUGAAUUAAACGCGUGUUGUCAAAAUUUUCAAAUUUCCGUGUUCAAAUUAAUAUUUAAUCCUGAUCCUUAAGUUUUGUUUUCGAAAAAAUCAUACAUACGUAUCUCCUAAUUUGUUUUAUCUUUCGUUUUAGUUUUGUAGUUUUAAAAUAAAUGGAAGGAUUGCAAGUUUCUCCCACACACCGUGCACUUGCAUUUUGCAUAACAUAAGCUCUCUACCCGGGCUCUGUUCGUUUAAGUGAAAGUAAACGCUAUGCCUUCGUGAGUUAACUCGUCCCUCCGCACAGGCUAGUGAAUACUUUCGGGUUACAUAUGACUUAUGCUUUCAUGAGUUAACUUGUCCCUCCGCAUAGGCAUAAGUAAAUGUAAUCCCUCGAAUUGAACUCGUGAGCCUGUGAUGGGUUAUGACCGAGGCUUCGUGCUAAUCUUAGCAGAUGAUAGUACGAGCAAUUCGAGUACCUGUCUAGAACCAAAACCGUAUAUAGUGAACCAUACGAGCCACCCAACUAGAGCCAUGCCGAACUGCCGCUCGUUUAGUAGUCACCGAAAUAAGUACACGGGAAAAACACAUCUUACCUUCUAUUUCUUUUACAUUUGUGCUUUCUAAGCAAGGGAAUCGAGUCCACUGGACCAAGUAGCUUAAUUUGUUAGAUUUUCCACAGUUUUUCUCUGUUUAUAUGUGUUGCGCUAACCAAGGUCGUUUGUCUGUAUUUUUAUUUUUCAUCAUGCAUCGAAGGCAUCUUGUUAGGAAGGUGUUGAUUAGAGAUUGGUUGCCAAAAACAAGUUUCUAAUGGAGGAGUCAAUUAUACGAGUGACCGAAACAUUGUGUAAUACUUCUUUGAUUAAGGAAAUGCCUAAAUAGGGGCUAUCUUGAAAUUAACACCAAUUUUUUACAUAUUCAUUCAUGACUGACAUUCAUUUGACAUUCAUGCAUUCAUUCAUGCAUUCAUUCAUACAUUGCAUAUCCCAUACUCGGUCGCUGAAGAUAAAAUAUAUAAUUCGCAGUUGUAAUACCACAAGACUGGAACCACGUCAUCCGUAUAAAACGCGCCGACAAGCUAGAGUAAUGGAGGCUGAAUUCAAUGAGAGAAUUGAAAGGAUGGAAAGGGGCUCAAAAGGAAUUACAAGAGCAACUGGCCAAAUUGCAACAAGAAACGAGAGACCUAAUGGUGAGAUCUCGAGAGGAAUCACUCGAGCAAAUAGAUCAGAUGGCCAAAAUGAUGGAGAUGAUGACAACUUUGGUCAAAGGAAAAGGACCCGUGCAGAACCCCGACGUUAUGGAACCUCAGUCAAGAAUUCACCACUAUCAGGAUCCACUCUAUCCCCCGGGAUUCACUCCACUACCCGCAUAUACAACACAAAGAGGGUAUACUCAAGGGGAACCCACAGUCUUGGAACAACGACCUAUGCCACCUGCUCCACCCACUAAUCUGGGGCAAGGAAUAUUCGUGUCGAACCCAAGGGCAAGCCCUGCUGAUCCAUUAGUUCCAGAUCUGGACGACCCAAUAGAGGUAGCCAAGUUGAAAUUGGAUAAUCAUGAUGCAAAAUAUAGAAGUCUAGAGGAAAGACUCAAAGCAAUAGAAGGCACUGAAGUCUUUCCGCACUAGGUGCCAAAGAACUCAGUUUGGUACAUGAUCUAAUCUUGCCUCCGAAAUUCAAGGCGCCUGAUUUUGAAAAGUAUGUGGGACAAGGUGCCCAAUAGCACAUCUCAUCAUGUUCUGUCGAAAAAUGACCGGUUAUAUGAACGAGGAUAAGCUACUUAUACAUUGCUUUCAAGAUAGUCUAACAGGGUUAGCUCUUCGGUGGUACAACCAACUCAGUAGAGAAAAGAUUCGAUCCUGGAAGGACUUGGCGUCAGCAUUUUGCGAGCAGUACAAGCAUGUGUCAGAUAUGGUGCCAGACCGGAUGACCUUGCAAAUGAUGGAGAAAAAGCCAUCAGAAACCUUCAGACAGUAUGCGCAGAGAUGGAGAGACGUCUCGGCCCAAGUAGAACCCCCACUAACAAAAACGGAGAUAACCAUUCUCUUUAUCAACACCUUAAAGGCGCCAUUUUAUGACAAAUUAGUGGGAAGUGCCACGAAAGAGUUUACGGAUAUUGUAAUAUCUGGUGAGCUCAUAGAGAAUGCCGUCAAGAGCGGUAGAAUGGAAGGCUCAGAAGGUUCAAAAAGGGCAGCACCUAUGAAGAAAAAAGAACCAGAAGCCCGCAUGGUGGGAAUGGAAAGUCGUUAUGCCUCUAAUCCAUAUUCGAACCAACCCCGACCUCAAAAUUAUCCACCUCCAAAUUUUUAUUAUCCCCCUCACAACCCUUACUACCAAGCACCACCUCCUUCCUAUCCCGUUUACGCCACGAACAACCAAAGACCCAUCACCUCAUUCCCACAAAACACUAUACCCGCUCAAAGCCAACACAAAAAUGAACCAAGACCAGCAAGGCCCAAUCCUGAGAGACAGCAAUUCACCCCUAUUCCUGCGUCGUACGGGAAACUGUACCCAAAACUUCUGGAAAAGCAAUUAAUAUCUCCCCAUUACAUGGCACCCCUUAAACCUCUAUACCCGAAAUGGUACGAUCCAAAUGCUAGUUGUGCAUACCAUGCCGGGAACCAGGGGCACUCUAUGGAAAACUGCCUGGCCUUCAAAAGGAGAGUUCAAGAACUUAUCGAUGCGGGUAUUCUGUGAUUUGAUGGCACUGGCGGUACAUCCGGGAACCCAUUCCCAAAACACACCGAAAGGAAUGUGAGCGCAGUAGGAGAGGAGGACAAACGACAAAGUAGAAGACGGGUUUCUGAAAUAAGAACACCUCUGUAGAAAAUCUGGAAGGUGCUAGUUGAAAAGGGUUCGCUUUGUCAUCUUAACAGAAUAUUCGAGGGAAUGAAUACAAAAGAUCCAAGUUUUUGUGAAUUCCAUAGUAUUGAGGGGCACGAUAUUCAAUCCUGCAAAGAGUUCAGGAGAUUACUGCAAAAUAUGAUGGACAAUAAGGCGAUUGGGAUUUUUUAUAAAGGCGAAGAGGCCAAUGAGAAAGAAGUAUGUACCUCCGACAAUCAAUCGUCAGGUUGUCCGUAUAGUGACCGACCGUUAAUAAUUUAUUAUGACGCGAAGAAGGAACCAAUGAAACCAAAAGUGAUAAUCGAGGUACCAUCUCCUUUCCCCUACAAGGACAAUAAAGCAGUACCAUGGAAAUAUGACGUUAAUAUCGUCACACCUGAAGAUGAAAAACCCAAAGCCAUGACUGGAAGCGUUGGGGAAGUAGGUCAUUUCACUCGCAGCGGAAGAUGUUAUUCAAAAGAGGUCGGAUCAGUAAAGAACAGUGACUUGAAACAGAAAGGAAAAGCACCGAUGCAUGUGACUGAAGAUGAGUAUGAAACUGUGCCUGAACAAGAAGCUAAAAAACCUGUGGACGAGGAAGAAGCACAAGAAUUUUUAAAAUUUAUCAAGCACAGUGAGUACAACAUGGUAGAACAAUUGAGUAAGUAGCCAGCGCGAAUCUCGGUAUUAUCUUUGCUGUUGAAUUCAGAACCACACCGGAACGCUUUGCUGAAAGUGUUAAAUCAAGCUUAUGUGGCAAACAAUGUAUCCGUUGAAAAACUGGAUAGGUGGGUGAACAACAUGAAUGCAGAUAAUUUCAUUUCUUUUAAUGAUAAUGAAAUACCGCCCAAUGGUAGAGGCUCAGUGAAAGUAUUGCAUAUUACAACCCGUUGUAAGAGCUAUAUAAUACCGAAUGUGCUCAUCGACCAUGGAUUGGCACUCAAUGUCAUGCCUUUAGCCACACUUUCCAGGAUUCCGAUAGAUUUGUCCUAUCUAAGGCCUUGCCAUUCUACAGUAAGGGCAUUCGAUGGAACAAGACGAGAAGUUAUGGGAAAAAUUGAGAUCCCUUUAGAAGUGGGUCCCUACAUAUACAAUGUUGAGUUUUAAGUCAUGGACAUUACACCAUCAUACAAUUGUCUUUUGGGAAGACAUUGGAUUCAUUCUACUGGAGCAGUCCCAUCAUCCCUCCAUCAAAAGGUGAAAUUUAUCAUGGAUGGCUGUUUGGUCACUGUCGAGGGAGAUGAAUACAUUGUAGCAUCUAUUUCUGCCGACGCACCAUAUAUUGAAGUGAGUAAAGACGCUCUGGAAUGUUCCUUCCGAUCUCUUGAAUUUGUCAAUGCCACAUUCGUCGCUGAGGGAAACAGAAUUCCCGAGCCAAAACUGUCGAGAAAUACCAAGAUGGGUGUCAAGUUGACUGUAGGAAAGGGAGCCCGAGCAAGGAAAGGUUUGGGAAGGUACCUGCAAGGAAUAGUCAGGGCUCUAAAGCCAGUACAUCACAAGGCCCGAUACGGUUUAGGGUUCUAACCGGACAUGCGUCAAAGAAGAAAACAGUGGAAGAAGGAUCAGGAGAGAAGGAUCGCGAGAACUUUAGGCCGAGAAAUAGAAUGGGAGCCCAUAACGUGCCCUCCUUUGUCAAAAACAUUUACAUCUGUAGGAAUGAUAUACCCCAGACAGGAUAAUAUACAAAGCACGCUGUUAUUAAUUGAAAGGGGUCUUUAGAAUGUCAGUAUAAAUGUCAUUGACAAAGAAGCUAACGCAAGUAAAGACUUCUCAAAGAUAUGCCCUUGUCCCCUGGGUUUCAAGUUGAACAAUUGGACUGCCGAGGAUCUUCUUGUAGUUUAUAAGUCUUCAGAGUAAUGCUCAAACGUUAACAUUCUGUUAUGUCCUUAGAUAUAAUAGAAUUCUUUUGUAAGAGCCUGCAUUCGCUCUUUAUCAUUCAAAUGAAUAUCAAUGAAGAUGCAUUUCGUCAUAAUAUUUCACAUUAUCACUAAUUUCAUAAUCAUUUUCUCAUGUCAUAGCCAAUCCUUACAUUUGCCUCAUUCCAUGCCAUAACAUUUCGUUUAUUGGUUUCAAUACUUGGAUGCCCCUCUAUAGUUCCCUUUUUCAUUCAACUUUCAGGUGCUCAGAUGUCAACAGCAUGAGCAAACCCGUUACGAGUCUUGAAAUCAAUUUUGAGAAAGCUGUUUGUUUAGGAGAAUUCGAAGCCGAAGAAAACGCUGAAGACUAUGUCUCGUCUCCUGAUUUGCUAAGAAUGGUGGAACAAGAGGAUAAGCAGAUUUUGCCUCAUCAAGAAUCUGUUGAAAUAAUAAAUCUGGAAACUGAAGAAAGGAGGCAAGAAGUGAAUAUUGGGACUUCUAUUUCAAGGGGCACCAGGCAUAAUUUGAUUGCUUUGCUCCGCGAAUACAAAGAUGUAUUCGCAUGGUCAUAUCAGGACAUGCCAGGAUUGGAUGAAGAUGUAGCGGUCCAUAAGCUCCCAUUAAAGCCAGAAUGCAAGCCUAUUCAACAAAAGCUAAGACGGAUGAGGCCUGAGAUGUUGUUGAAGAUAAAAGAGGAAGUCAAGAAGCAAUUUGAUGCUGGCUUCUUACAAGCCUCCAAAUAUCCAAAAUGGGUGGCUAACAUAGUCCCGGUACCAAAGAAAGACGACAAAGUACGAAUGUGUGUGGAUUAUCGUGACUUGAAUCGAGCAAGUCCUAAAAAUAAUUUUCCCUUACCACACAUUGAUACGUUGGUGGAUAACACGGCAAAACAUUCAUUGUUUUCCUUCAUGGAUGGAUUCUCGGGGUACAAUCAGAUCAAAAUGGCCCCGGAAGAUAUGGAGAAAACUACCUUCAUAACGAUGUGGGGAACAUUCUGCUACAAGGUGAUGCCUUUUAGGUUAAAGAAUGCAGGGGCAACAUAUCAGAGGGCUAUGGUGACGUUAUUCCAUGAUAUGAUGCAUAAAGAAAUAGAGGUCUAUGUCGACGAUAUGAUUGCUAAAUCCCGAGGGGAAGAAAAGCAUGUAGUGAACCUGAAGAAGUUGUUCGACAGACUAAGAAAGUUCCAGCUAAAGCUCAAUCCGGCCAAAUGUACGUUUGGAGCUACCUCAGGAAAAUUGCUUGGUUUUAUUGUUAGUGAGAGAGGUAUUGAAGUUGAUCCAGAUAAAAUAAAAGCCAUUCAAGAGUUACCACCUCCGCGCACGCAAAAGGAAGUCAGAGGAUUUUUAGGGAGAUUAAACUACAUCGCCCGAUUUAUCGCUCAACUUACCGACCAAUGCGACCCAAUCUUUCGACUCCUUCGAAAACAUAAUCCCGGAGAAUGGAACGAGGAGUGCCAAGUGGCUUUUAACAAGAUAAAACAGUAUUUGUCUAGUCCUCCAGUACUAGUACCGCCAACUCCGGAAAGACCAUUAAUUUUGUAUCUGACAGUGUUCAAAAAUUCAAUGGGUUGCGUACUGGGGCAACAUGAUGAGUCAGGAAAGAAAGAAAAUGCGAUCUACUACCUCAGUAAAAAGUUCACUGAAUAUGAGGCAAAGUAUUCAUCCAUUGAAAAAUAUUGUUGCGCUCUGGUUUGGGUAGCUCAGAGACUCAGGCAAUACAUGUUGUAUCAUACGACAUGGUUAAUUUCAAAGCUAGAUCCAAUAAAGUACAUGAUGGAAUCACCUGCACUCUCAGGAAGAAUGGCACAGUGGCAGAUCUUACUAUCAGAGUACGACAUCGUCUAUGUGAGUCAAAAGUCAAUAAAAGGAAGCGCAAUAGCUGACUUUUUGGCGACCCGAACAAUGGAUGAAUAUGAGCCAUUGAGAUUUGAAUUCCCGGAUGAAGAUUUGAUGUGCAUUACAGAAAAAGAAUGCAAGUCACCAAAAGAGAAGUCAUGGAAGAUGAGCUUUGAUGGUGUAUCAAACGCAUUGGGGCACGGGGUUGGAGCAGUCUUAGUAUCACCAGAAGGGAACCAUUACCCACUCACUGCCAGGUUGAACUUCUUCUGUACUAAUAACAUAGUGGAAUAUGAGGCAUGUAUCAUGGGACUUCGUGCAGCUAUUGAACGAAACGUCAAAACUUUAGAGGUAUACGGAGACUCAGCCUUGGUGAUUUACCAAAUCCGUGGAGAUUGGGAAGUGAGAGACUCGAAAUUGAUUAAGUACAAUGAUUUAGUAGCUGAAUUGAUCAAAGAAUUCAAAGAAAUAACUUUUCAUUACUUCCCGCGAGAAGAAAACCAAUUGGCUGAUGCCCUGGCCACCUUGGCUUCAAUGUUCAAAUCAAGUAAAGAAGCAGAAAUAAUGCCCCUCAAAAUGAGCAUAUACGAGGUCCCUGCACACUGUUGUAGCAUUGAGAAAGAGGCAGACGGACGGUCAUGGUUCCAUGAUAUCUUAGAAUAUAUCAAGAAUCAAAGCUAUCCCGAACAAGCGAAUGAGAACGACAAAAGAACAAUCAGAAGAAUGGCAGCGGGAUUUGUUCUUGAUGGGGAUAUCCUGUAUAAAAGAGGAAAGGAUCAAGUACUUUUGAAAUGCGUGGAUGAUGUUGAAGCCAGAAAGAUACUUGAAGAUGUCCAUGAAGGAAUCUGUGGGACACAUGCCAAUGGUUUCAGUAUGGCCAGAAAGAUUAUGAAACUCGGUUACUACUGGUUGACGAUGGAAAGCAACUGCAUUAGUUUUGCCAGAAAAUGCCACAAAUGUCAAAUCUAAGGCGAUAAAAUUCAUGCAGCCCCUUCGCCCCUUCACGUCAUGACUUCUCCGUGGCCUUUUUCUAUGUGGGGCAUGGAUGUCAUAGGGCCUAUUUUCCCGAAAGCUUCUAAUGUACAUCGAUUCAUUUUUGUGGUCAUUGAUUACUUCACAAAAUGGAUAGAAGUCGCUUCGUUUGCCAAUGUGACCAAGACUGCAGUUUGCAGGUUUUUGAAGAAGGAAAUCAUUUGUCGAUACGGUUUGCCUGAAAGAAUCAUUUCAGAUAACGCCAUGAAUCUGAAUAACAAGAUGAUGAAGGAAGUAUGCGAGCAAUUCCAAAUAAAGCAUCAUAACUCCUCGCCCUAUUGCCCAAAGAUGAACGGGGCUGUUGAAGCAGCCAAUAAAAAUAUUAAGAGGAUCAUUGGGAAAAUGACUGAGACGUUUAAAGAUUGGCACGAGAAGCUUCCAUUUGCUUUGUUUGCAUAUCGCACAUCUGUGCGAACAUCUACGGGAGCAACUCCUUUCUCUCUGGUUUAUGGAAUGGAAGCUGUGCUACCUAUCGAGGUUGAGAUCCCUUCUCUACGAGUCUUAAUGGAAUCAAAGUUAGAAGAAGCAGAAUGGGUACAAGCUCGAUAUGAUCAGCUGAACCUCAUUGAAGAAAAGCGUCUCAGGGAAAUUUGUCACGGGCAGAUGUACCAAAAAAGAAUGAUAGCAGCCCAUGACAAGAAGGUACGACCAAAAGAAUUCCAUGAAGGAGAACUCGUACUGAGAAAAAUUCUCCCAAUACAAAAAGAUCUGCGAGGGAAAUGGGCACCAAACUGGGAAGGACCGUACGUCGUAAAGAAGGCAUUCUCAGGAGGAGCUUUGAUCCUUACCGAGAUGGAUGGGAAAGAGUUGUCGAAUCCAGUGAACUCAGAUGCUGUGAAGAAAUAUUAUGCUUAAGAUGAAAACCCGAAAAAGGCAUCUUGAUUAGUACAAAAAGAUUAGGAUGAAAACCCGAGAGGGCGUCCUAAUGAAACAAACCUGACGGUCGAACGAUAGGUCAAGCAGUGAGGCUACAGUAUUUGAAGCAUUUUUGAAAGCUCGAAAUCUUCUACGCAAGAAGCCGCGCUCGAAAAGAUUUUUGAUUGAGGAACGAGGAAGAGUUCAUGUGUUGAAUAUCUAGAGCAUUUGUAUCUGUUGAAUACGAUCAUUUCUUUCUUUUUGACAUUUUUUACUCUCAUUGGUUAACUUGCUUUGUUUGCCACAUUUGAAAUAGAUGAAUAUGAAAUAUCAUUUUUGUCCCUAUCUGACCUUUUUCAUGCAUCUCAUUAUGUGUUUAUUUACAUGAUCAAUGGUGAAAUGACAUACUCUAAACAAAAGAAAUGUUAAGCAUUACCUGGAUGAAACUUUGAUAAGCACAAGAGUCUCAAAGUAAGAACAAAGUUCAAUCGGGGGCAGAAGAGUGAUAUCUGAGAAACGUCGAUUACUCGUGAAGCUUGAAGACAGGUAUAAGGCCUAAAGAGAAAGUCGAGAAUCAAAGCAAUGAACACAGAUCCUCAACAAUCGUGGCUAAAUGGACAUCCGACAAACAUGCUUAAGGAGCACUGCAUAAUCAUGUAGGCAUAAAAGCAUUUAAGACAAACAUGUGCAUAUCAUGAUAACAUCAUACAUGGCAUAUACAGGUACCCCAGCAGAGCAAGAAAUCUUGAAUGAGAGUCGCACUGAAUCAAAGGAAAAGACACCCGAGUUCUACCAAAGGACAGGUUUUGGUAUUUUGAUGUUUUUAAUUCAUGCUUUUCAAGGGAAAUCAACUCAUAUUGCGAGAGAUGAGUUGAGCCUCAAGACAUAUUGAGGUAUUUUUAAUUUUUGUUUUCAAAAUCAACUCAUAUUGCGAGAAGUGAGUUGAGCCUCGGGGCACGCUGAGGUAUUUUUAGUUUAUGUUUUAAAUUGACUCAUAUUGCGAGAGGUGAGUUAAGCCUUUUAAUUUUUGUUUUUCAAAAUCAACUCAUAUUGCUAGAGGUAAGUUGAGCCUCGGGGCACGCUGAGGUAUUUUCAAUUUUUGUGUUUUAAUUUCAACUCAUAUUGCGAGAGGUGAGUUGAGCCUCAGGUCACGCUGAGGUAUUUUCAAUUUCUGUUUUCAAUUUACGUUGUUUAAGAAUCAACUCAUAUUGCGAGAGGUGGGUUGAACCUUUUAAUUUCUACUUUUUCAAAAUCAGCUCAUAUUGCGAGAGGUGAGUUGAGCCUCAGGUCACGCUGAGGUAUUUUCAAUUUCUGUUUUCAAUUUACGUUGUUCAAGAAUCAACUCAUAUUGCGAGAGGUGGGUUGAACCUUUUAAUUUCUACUUUUUCAAAAUCAGCUCAUAUUGCGAGAGGUGAGUUGAGCCUCAGGUCACGCUAAGGUAUUUUCAAUUUCUGUUUUCAAUUUACGUUGUUCAAGAAUCAACUCAUAUUGCGAGAAGUGAGUUGAACCUUUUAAUUUCUACUUUUUCAAAAUCAGCUCAUAUUGCGAGAGGUGAGUUGAGCCUCAGGUCACGCUGAGGUAUUUUCAAUUUCUGUUUUCAAUUUACGUUGUUCAAGAAUCAACUCAUAUUGCGAGAAGUGGGUUGAACCUUUUAAUUUCUACUUUUUCAAAAUCAGCUCAUAUUGCGAGAGGUGAGUUGAGCCUCAGGUCACGCUGAGGUAUUUUCAAUUUCUGUUUUCAAUUUAUGUUGUUCAAGAAUCAACUCAUAUUACGAGAGGUGGGUUGAACCUUUUAAUUUCUACUUUUUCAAAAUCAGCUCAUAUUGCGAGAGGUGAGUUGAGCCUCGAUUCACAUGCUGAGGUAUUUUCAAUUUCUGUCUUUCAAAAAAAAAAUUCAACUCAUAUUGCGAGAAAUGAGUUGAGCCUCAAGACACGUUGAGGUAAUUUCAAUUUCUGUUUUCAAAAUUCAACUCAUAUUGCGAGAAAUGAGUUGAGCCUCAAGACACGUUGAGGUAAUUUCAAUUUCUGCUUUCAAAAUUCAACUCAUAUUGCGAGAAAUUAGUUGAGCCUCAAGACAUGCUGAGGUAUUUUCAAUUUCUAUUUUUCAAAAAAAAAAUCAACUCAUAUUGUGAGAAAUGAGUUGAGCUUCAAGACAUGCUGAGGUAUUUUCAAUUUCUGUUUUUCAAAAAAAUCAACUCAUAUUGCGAGAGGUGAGUUGAGCCUCAGGACACGCUAAGGUAAUUUCAAUUUCUGUUGCCAAAAAAAUCAACUCGUAUUGUGAGAGGCGAGUUGAGCCUUAGGUCACACGCCGAGGUAUUUUCAAUUUCCGUUUUUCAAUUUCUGCCUUUCAAAAAAAAAUCAACUCAUAUUGCGAGAGGUGAGUUGAGCCUUGGCUCACGCGCUGAGCUAUUUUCAAUUUCUGUCUUUCAAAAAAAUCAACUCAUAUUGCAAGAGGUGAGUUGAGCUUUAGAUCACACACUGAGGUAUUUUUUCAAUUUAUAUUUUUCAAAGAAAUCAACUCACAUUGCGAGAUGUGAGUUGAGCCUCGGGUCACAUGUCGAGGUAUUUUCAAAAUCUGUUUUUCAGAUUCUGCUUUCAAAAAUCAACUCAUAUUGCGAGAAGUGAGUUGAGCCUUGGCUCACGUGCUGAGCUAUUUUCAAUUUCUGUUUUUUUUUCAAAAAAAUUCAACUCAUAUUGCGAGAGGUGAGCUGAGCUUUUUAAUUUCUGCGAGAGUUGAGUUGAGUCUUUUAAUUUCUGUUUUUCAAAAAUCAACUUAUAUUGCGAGAGGUGAGUUGAACCUUCAGUCACAUAUCGAGGUAUUUUCAAAAUCUGCUUUUCAAGUUAAGUUUCAAAAAAUCAACUCAUAUUGCGAGAGGUGAGUUGAGCCUUGGCUCACGUGCUGAGCUAUUUUCAAUUUCUGUUUUUAAUGUCUGUUUUUAGAGAGUCAAUUCAUAUUGCGAAAAAUGAAUUGAGCUCAGGAUCACAUGCCGAGUAGAGAAUAAAGAUUGAAGCUGAUUGAAGAUGUCAGAUUCUGUCUCCUUAAAGUUGCAGUGGAGUUGAUCGAGGGUAUCAGAUAUUGCCUUUCUGGAGUCGCAGAAGAAAAGACCACAAACCUUAUCUCACUGAAGCGAUAGAAGAGUAUAUUGAAGUUGUAGAUCUCACCUUUCUGAAGUUACAGCGAAGUAGAUCGAAGCCAUACAUUUCAUAUCCUUGAAGUUACAUCGGAAUAAAUUGAAGCUACAAGGCGUAUAUCACAAGAUGCAGUGGAGUGAACCAAAGCUACAAGAUGCGGUGGACUGAAAAGGGACUAACUAAAUAAGAAGAGUUCCAAAGCAAGUCAAGACCUAGCAAGACCGGGCAAAUUUGGUCUUCCUUGAAAGUCUUUGCUUUAUUAUCGUUGCACGACAAUGAGCAAAGAGGGGCAGCUGUAGAAGCCCAAAUUGCCCGGGCCUGAUUAUAUCAAAACCCAACCAAACCUCUAAACCCACUAAAACCCUUAACCCAUAACCCAUUUACAUCUACCCAAACCCAUUACAAAACCCAAAUAUUAAACCCAAUUCAAAAGCCCAUUAAGCCCCCAUCCAAAAAAAACCUAACCCAAAAAAAAAAAACUAACCCCCCAAAAAAAAAACCAAGAAACCCUAGCCACCUAGCCACUUUCCCAUUUGCCCCAUUUUUCCUCCCAUUUUUGAUAUUCAUUGUCUACCACCAUCACCUACAAAAUAGAAAAAGAAAUAAUAGAAAAUCAUGUAAAAGAUGGCUAUAAAAAGUCAUUCAAAAUCAUGUAAAGAGGGGGAUUUUACAAAGAUUGAAAAAAAAAACACAAAAAUCCCUUCAAAUUUUGAACACAAAAGAAACAUCAAUAAAAAUGUUGCAUCUUUUUCUUUUCUCCUCUUCUUCCGAAUCUUUUUUUUUCUUUUUUUUGUUGUUUUUUUUUCUUUCUUUAUAUAUACAUAUAUUGUUAAAAAAAAUUUACCUUUUCCGGCCACCGUGGGCGGUGGCCGGCGGUGGCCGACGACGGGCGGCGAUCGACGAUCGACCGGUGACCGGCCCCCCUUGGCCGGAUUUCCUUUCCCCCCUCCCUUCUCUCUUCUUUCCCUCUUCUUUUUUUUAGGUAUUUUAUAUAUAUUAUGUAUAUAUUUUUUAAUGCCAUUAGUUAUAUAUUUCUUAUGUAUAUAUUCUUAAAUACUAUUAUAUACAUAUAUAUAUAUAUUUUAAAUACCAUAUUGUGUAUAUAUUAUUAUUACAAAUUAUUACUAUUGCUAGUAUUAUUAUAACUAUUAUUAUAUUAGUGUAUAUUUUAUGUACAUAUGUAUAUAUAUAUUUUUGUACAUAUCAUUAUUUUAUAUUAUUGUUGUAAAUUUUUUAUGUAUAUAUUUUUUAUGUACGUUUCCUAAUAUUUUCUUUUAUUGUAGAUAUUAUUAUUAUUAUUACAUACUUUUAUUAUAUGCAUAUAUAUAUGUAUUUUUAUGUACAUAUUAUUAUUUUAUAUUAUUAUUACCAAAUAUAUCAUUUUUCCUAUUUUAUUAUUAGUACAUGAUUUGUUUUUAUUUUGUAAAUAUCAUUAUUAUUGUUAUUCUAAUAUUCUAGUAUUCCAUGUUAAUAUUUUUCAUUAAUGAUAUCAUUUUUUUGCGUCCUUUAUCUAUUUUUAAUUUCUCACUUUAGGAAUAUUUUUUUCUCAUGUUUUAAUUAAUUUAAAAAAUAAGGCAAUGUACCGAUUUAAUAUUAAGCCAUCGAUUUCAUCGCUAUGUUGGGUGAAAUUCGUCGGCUUGUGUUAAUAAACGGGACACCCUUUCUUAAAAAAAAAUCGAAAACUAAAAAUUCUCAUUUUUCAAUCGGAUCACGAUUAAAUAUUAUAUUGAACUCGUAUUUUUGAAAAUCAAGUCAACAAAUGUUUAUGAGAUACCAAUUUUGGGCGUCGCGAGGGUGCUAAUACCUUCCUCGCGCGUAACUGACUCCCGAACCCCAAUUUUUCUCUGAACUUUCACGUAGACCUAAAUUUGGCCUUCUUUUUGUUUUAAAAUAAUUUUAUUAGGUGUCCGAUCACACCUAUAAAAAAGGAUCGGUGGCGACUCCCUUUGCUAAUAAAAUCAAAAGUUGGUUUUCAAAUGUUUAAUAAAUCGCCACAAUUAGCGACCAAGCGAAACUAAAUUUUUUUUACGUCGCUACAAAUAGCAGACAGUCAUCAAAUUCAAUCUAAAAUUUUCAAUUAAAAUCAUUUGUUCACUAUACCCAUUUAACCAAUAACUCAUAAUCACAUUUCUGAACUUUGCAGACCUGCUGUAGAGAAGUAAGUUUAACAUUUAUUUUAACUAGAAUUGAGCCAUCAUCAGAUAAUGACAAUCGAAUGUUCAUAGCUCAUAACACAAAGCAAAACUUUUAAUUCUGAGUAUACAUAACUUCAUAUGCCUUCCCUGAACAAUAAUCAAUUAUCAAAUCAUGAUCUCUUAAUGCGAAGACAAUAGCUACCACUUUCAAGUCAUGUAUCAAAUAAUUCUUUCUAUAUAAUUCCAACUUUCUGAAAACAUAAACCGUUAAUUCACUUUCUUGCAUCAAACACUACUAUCCCUGUAAAUCACAAGUUCCUUUACCGGAUUUCGGACUAAACCAGAACUAGUGUUUCGGUUAACUGAAUUUUCAACUAAUCAAAACUUUACUGACAUUUAUCAGACCAUUCCAAUUCCACAUCUUUCUAUAAUAACCGUAUCAUCCAAAAAAUCUUUUUUUCUUUUUUCUUUUUUUUUUCAAAUUUCUGAUAAUAACCGACUAGUCUCAGAAAACCAUUAUUUCAGAUAUAAUUUCAGUAUCAUUUCAAUCACAAGAUCUAUAGCAAAUUCAGCUUCUUUAAUCAACAGUAAUUUAGGUAAUUCUUCUAAAAACAUAUCAUAAUUGUCACAUACUAUUGCCACUGAUUUUUUUUUUACUUUACUUUGACUCAGAAACUUUAAUACCCAAUUCAUAAGUAAAGUAAGUACUAUAACAUUUUCCGGCACAUUUCUGUGUUGACAUGAUUAAUAUCAUAAUGGACAAAUCAUUCAAUCUUUUCUGAUUCAAAACAAAACAUUUCAUCAUCCCAACUUUACAAUAUAAUAUACUUCUGUUUAUAUUUUGCCACAGUAUCAUGCAAAAUUAACCAUUCCAUUCUCAGAGUCACGUCAAACAAUAAUAUCAUCAAAUUAAUCAAAAAAAUAGCACCUUAAUAUCAUUAUCAGACACUUCCCACAAAUUUUAUCAACCAAUAAAUAUUGAUCUGGAAAAUUUGAUACUUCUACCAAAAAUUCAACGAACUCAACAGGCAAAUCCUUAGUAGAACUGAAUUCAUGCAACCAUUGGAAUAAUCAAACCAAAAGCAAUUUAAAAUAAUUAUAUCAAUAUCGAUAAAGAAGAAAGUACCUGGAAUGACAUCCGGUAGAGAACUAUCCUCUUCUACACGAUUAAUAUAUAUAUACCUUGGCUGAUAUUCAUUCUCCAAAUUUUACAGUGAAAUCCUGUCACACUUCGACUAUCACUCUCAUUUCUGGGUUACAGAGUAAUCUACCUCUGAUAACUGUGGUACUCGGUCUUGAAUUCUGAAUAAUAUCUUUUCAACUUUCUUCGAACAAUCACUAAAAUAAUAAUCAAAAGAAUCAUAUCUAACUCAUAUCCCAUUCUUUAUUCUACAUUCUUCGGCUUUUGUCUUCAUCUAAACCAUUUUCAAACCAUUUGUAUAUCAUAGUUUCUAUCGGAAUACACCCUCUGAUAUAUUUAUUCAAUCAAAUAAUUUCAAUUCAAACAUAAUUGCGGGUAUAUUACUCUGUUUAAAAUUUAAAAAUUCCUUCGUAUCUCUGAUCAAGAAAUCUCUGACUGAUAUAUAUAUUUCUUUCAAAACUCAUUUCAGAAAAUUUCCAAAUAACCCUUUCAUACAUAAUCACAACAUUAAUCAAUAUUUUCAUCACUGGCAGACUAAAUCUUUUAGUAGAAAUAUCAUACCUUUUUAACAUUUAUUCGGCGAGCAAAACAAUUCAUUUAUAACCCUGAUAUAAUACUCUCUAACUAGAUUUCAGUUCUUUUCAAAAUCAAUUUCAACUAUAAUUCCCAAUUCUUUCACACUAUAUUUACGGAGUAUUUAACAACAGAUACUUACCCGUUCCGAUGAGUUCUAUACUUUGAAGCACUUCGGGAACCGAUUGAGAAACAGGAGAGGCAAUUAUCGUAAUAGAUAUAAUUUCUUAUAUUCACUAAAAAGCAUCAGUUAUAAUUCUAAACAUUAUGUAUUAUCUCUUUCUCUAUUAUUUCAUCAUUCAACAUUCACUAACUAAUUACUCAUUGAAUAAAUACUCAGUAUUACCGAUUCAGUUUUCAUCUAAUUCACGAGACUUUUCGUUUUCAGUAUACAUUUCAUAAUCAAUACUAUCAAUAUAUUCUUCUAACAUUUUCACUAUAAAACAGAAGCAAACAAAUAUAUCAGCAUCCGAUCCCGAUUCAAUUUCAACUUAACUUUGGCAUGUACCUCUAAACUCAAUUCCGAGCUUGAUUUAGUCCGAGAAUCGGAUAAACCUGAUAGCUCUGAUACCAACAAUUGUAACACCCCCUAACCCUAAACCAUCACCGGAAGAGAAUUAUGGAGCAUUACCGGAGUUUACAGAAUAAUUACACACAAUUCCAUUAUUUUCUUAUGUUCAUGUCAAAGCUGUCUUCUUGAGCAAUAGUCACUAAAAUAUUUAUAUCUGGAGUUACGAAGCUCCAAAUUAAGUUCCGUUAAUUUUUCUUGAAACUAGACUCAUAUACCUUUCUACCAUAAAAAUUUCAGAAUUUUUGGUUCAGCCAAUUAGUACAGUUUAUUCCUCAAAGUUACCCCUAGUCUGCUAUUUGACAGCUUCGACCUUUCUUUACUAAAAUUUAAUUAUCUCAUAGCACAGGACUCGGGUGAUGUUCCCAUUUAUUUAUCUUGAAAAUAGACUCAUUAAGGAUUCUAAGAAUAUAAAUUAUAGCCCAUAAUUAUUUUUAUACAAUUUUUAAUGAUUUUCCCAAUUCAAAAUAGGGUAUUCCAAAAUCAAUCUGACAUUGUCUCAUAAAAAUUCAAAUUCAUACCAAAUUAUUAAAAUCCUAUUUUAUACCAUAACCAAACCUUAAAUUUAUUUAUUUCAUCCUUACAUUUACAAUUUCAAAAUGACACACACAUAAGGCAUCCUAGGUACAUGCCAUUACCCAUAAUUAACACACUUUACCUCAUUGAAUUUGGGAUCGGCCUGAGAUGCUGAUUCAACGUUCUAUCUUUACUUAACCUGCGCACGGAAACAAACCGUAUGCUGAGUAUGGUAUACUCAGUGGUAUUUCCAUAAUCCGAACACUUAAUAACAUAACAAUUAAACUUAAAGUAACAAUAACAAUUAUAAGUAUUCAUUUAUUUAUUUUAUAGAUGAAUUUCAUUUACUUACCGUAUAAAUUCUAUACAAUAUAUUCACAAUUCACUUGUAUUCACACUUUACUUCUUAACAAUAUAUCAUUUUAAUUCAUUCUAACAUCAAUCAUCAUCCAUUUGAACUUCACUCAUUUCAUGAACCUUUUGGUUCAUGUUUUCAAUCUCAUAUCUCAAUUUCAAUUCUCAAUUCAAUUUCUCAUUUCAUUCUAAUAGCUCAAUCAAUCAAAUUCACUCGAUUUAUCUUUUCACUUAUUUACCCCUAUUAACAAGACUCGGACUCUGAUAGAUACGCGGAUUCCUCCCAAACACACUAGAAUAUCCAACCCAAACACACCCGGAAUAUUAUAAAUCCUUCAUAACACACCAGUAUAUCAUAUCCUCCCAAACACACCAAUAAGGCAUUAAAUGCCUCUUCGGAUAAACCGAAGUAUAUAAUAACAGAAACAUCUUCUCGGCCGAACUACAAAUCUCCUCAUCACAUCACAAACCCAAUGGCAUGCCAUUUGUAUCCAAUCUGGUCCAAUACUGUUAAUAGGGUAUUUGAUUCACUUUCUCAAUUUAAUGAAUCUUUCAUCAAUAUACCAUUCUAAUAAUCACAUAUAUUCACACAUUUUCACAAUUUCAUACAUUUUCAUUCAAUUCAACAAAUAUAUUUCAAUUAUUCACAUUAAUUCAUAAUCCAAUACAACUCAAUUCACUUUUCAAUAUCAAAUAUUCAAUUAUCACAAAUCUCAUAUAUUCAUAUCAAUUCCCUCAUAUUUCCAAUCAAUAUAAUUUUUCAAUAUAACAUUCAUUCAAUAUUCAAAUUUUUACAUAGAUCAUAUAUAUAUAUAUAUAUAUUAUAAUUUCAAUCAAUAUAAAUUCAAUCAAAAUGAUUUCAAUCAAUAUAAAUUUGAUAAAUUCAUCACAUACCAAAAUCAAUCCAGUUCAAUUGUAAAACAUCAUAAUUCUAACACUAACAAUUGUCAUAUGUAUAUAAAUAUAACAAAUAAUGACUGAUUUCGGAUUAUAGAAAUACAAACCGUAUUUUUCGAGCUUUUCCAAGCUUUUCCUCGUCGACUUUGCUAUUUCCUUACUUAGCCGAAACUUCUCGAGACAACGUUAGCUACGAAAAUUAAAACAAUUUAUAUUCAUUAAUUCACUACUAAUUUAUAUCUAAUUAAUUGAAUUUUCUAUUCAAUUUUCUACUUUAAUUUCAAUUUAAUCUUAACUAAUUUUCAAUUACGUUUCUAAUUCAAUUCACAUUCUAUUUCUAUUCAAAUUUCAUCCAUACUCUCAUUUAAAUAUUAAAUUUCCAGCAUAUUUUCCUAAUUUCAAAUUUUCAUCAAUUUAGUUCCUACAACAUAAAACUUAUAACUUACUUUACAAUUUGAUCCUAUUAUCAAUUCUAACUUGAAAUUCACUCAAUUAAACCCUUAAUUCACUAUUUUAUUCAACAUGAACUAUACUUGAAAAACUAUAAACUCUCAAAAUAUCAACUUAAUUUCAAUAAAACCUUGUUUUAAAGCUUCUAAAACAUCAAAUUUAAGAGGAAAUGACUUAAUUAACUUACCAAAUUAAACUUCAAGCAUCAAACCUUAUAUUUUCCCCUUUUUUCUUUCUUUUCUUUCUUUCCUUCCUUCCCUCUCUGUUUCGUUUCUACUAUUCUGUUUCUUCCCUUCUUCUCUUUUUUUUUC
rnacentral:lncRNA from 1 species